rnacentral:lncRNA from 1 species
AUGUUCGUUGGGGAUUCAACAUGGCGGCGGCAGUGGCGGUGGCGGUGGCGGCGCCAGAGAGUUGAGGGCAGCAGGAGGGCGCCGAGUUCCAGGCCGAGCGGCCAGGCCGCGAGCGACUGCGGUGCCGAGCCGGCUGCCGGCCGGAGCCCCGCUCUGCACUCUCCACGCGGAGAGCCUGGCGCCAUGUUCGGGAAGAAGAAGAAGCGGGUCGAGAUCUCUGCGCCGUCUAACUUCGAGCACCGCGUGCACACGGGCUUCGACCAGCAUGAGCAGAGGUUCACGGGGCUGCCCCGCCAAUGGCAGAGCCUGAUCGAGGAGUCGGCCCGCCGGCCCAAGCCCCUCAUCGACCCCGCCUGCAUCACCUCCAUCCAGCCUGGGGCCCCCAAGACCAUCGUGCGGGGCAGCAAAGGCGCCAAGGAUGGGGCCCUCACGCUGCUGCUCGACGAGUUCGAGAACAUGUCGGUGACGCGCUCCAACUCCCUGCGGAGAGACAGCCCGCCGCCACCUGCCCGUGCCCGCCAGGAAAACGGGAUGCCCGCGGAGCAGGCCGCUACGGCCAGAGGGGCCCCAGAGAAGGCGGGCAGCCAAGGCCGGGGAGCCGGUCAUGGCGAGGCGGGUGGCAGCAGUGGAGACAGGCGGCGGGCGGGGCCGGACAAGAGGCCCAAGUCUUCCAGGGAGGGCUCGGGAGGUCCCCAGGAGUCCUCCCGGGACAAGCGUCCCCUCUCUGGGCCUGACGUCGGCACCCCCCACCAACCCGCCAGUCUAGCCAGCGGGGCGAAAGUGGCGGCUGGCCGGCCCUUUAACACGUACCCGCGGGCCGACACGGACCACCCGUCCCGGGGCACCCAGGCGGAGCCUCACAACAUGGCCCCCAACGGGCCAUCGGUGGGGGGCCUGGCCAUCCCCCAGUCCUCCUCCUCCCGGCCCCCUGCCCGAGCCCAUGGCGCCCCCAGCCCUGGAGUGCUGGGCCCCCACGCCUCUGAGCCCCAGCUGGCCCCCCCAGCCCGCACCCUCACCGCCCCCGCAGGGCCCCCUGCCCCCGGGCCCCCCGGCCCCCGCUCACCGCAGCGGGAGCCCCAGCGAGUGUCCCACGAGCAGUUCCGGGCUGCCCUGCAGCUGGUGGUGGACCCCGGCGACCCCCGCUCCUACCUGGACAACUUCAUCAAGAUUGGCGAGGGCUCCACCGGCAUCGUGUGCAUCGCGACUGUGCGCAGCUCUGGCAGGCUGGUGGCCGUCAAGAAGAUGGACCUGCGCAAGCAGCAGCGGCGGGAGCUGCUCUUCAACGAGGUGGGCCUGCCACCCCGUCCCCAUAGGGCCCCCCUGCCCCCCCGUGCUCCUCCUGGGCCCCCCUGCCCCCCCGUGCUCCUCCUGGGCCCCUGCCCCCCCGUGCUCCUCCUGGGCCCCCCUGCCCCCCCGUGCUCCUCCUGGGCCCCCCUGCCCCCCCGUGCUCCUCCUGGGCCCCCUGCCCCCCCGUGCUCCUCCUGGGCCCCCUGCCCCCCGUGCUCCUCCUGGGCCCCGUGCUCCUCCUGGGCCCCCCUGCCCCCCCCCGUGCUCCUCCUGGGCCCCCUGCCCCCCCGUGCUCCUCCUGGGCCCCCCUGCCCCCCGUGCUCCUCCUGGGCCCCCUGCCCCCCCGUGCUCCUCCUGGGCCCCCUGCCCCCCCGUGCCCCCCCUGGGCCCCCCUGCCCCCCCGUGCUCCUCCUGGGCCCCCCUGCCCCCCCGUGCUCCUCCUGGGCCCCCUGCCCCCCCGUGCUCCUCCUGGGCCCCCGUGCUCCUCCUGGGCCCCCCUGCCCCCCCCCGUGCUCCUCCUGGGCCCCCUGCCCCCCCAUGCUCCUCCUGGGCCCCCCCCCGUGCCCCCUCCUGGGCCCCCCUGCUUCCCCCAGAACCCCCCCACUCUCCACCUGCCCCACUCCCCCCAGAGCCCCCCCACCCUCCACCUGCCCCACUCCCCCCAGGGCUCCCCCACCCCUCCACCUGCCCCACUCCCCCCAGGGCUCCCCACCCCCCCACCUGCCCCACUCCCCCCAGGGCUCCCCCACCCCCCCCACCUGCCCCACUCCCCCCAGGGCCCCCCCCAACUACCCCACGCCCCCUGGGACCCCCCUGCCCCCGGCUCCUCCCAGGGCCCCCGGCUCCUCUCAGGGCCCGCUGUUUCCCCCAGGGCUCCUGUACCUGCCCCCAUUCCUCCCGGGGCUCCCCGCCUCCCCCACCUGCCCCCCGCAGCUGCCCCACUCCUCCCGGGGCUCCCCGCCUCCCCACCUGCCCCCCCGCCGCUGCCCCACUCCUCCGGGGCUCCCCGCCUCCCACCUGCCCCCCGCAGCUGCCCCACUCCUCCCGGGGCUCCCCGCCUCCCCACCUGCCCCCCGCACCUGCCCCCACUCCUCCCGGGGCUCCCCGCCUCCCUACCUGCCCCCCGCAGCUGCCCCACUCCUCCCGGGCUCCCGCCUCCCCACCUGCCCCCGCACCUGCCCCACUCCUCCCGGGGCUCCCCGCCUCCCCACCUGCCCCCCGCCGCUGCCCCACUCCUCCCGGGGCUCCCCUACCCCACAGUUUGGAGGGCAUGCAGGGCUGAGAACCAGGAGAGGUCCUGUGGGGCUGGGGUUUGCCAGGCGUGAGUUCCGAGCCCAGCUCCUGUCCCCACUCCUUGCGCCUCCCCAGGCUGUGUCCUCUGUCCCCAUGAUACCCACUGCCAUGCCGUCCUGUCCUGGCCAGGCCCCACUGACUCUCUAUGUGCCUUCCAGGCCCCUCACCACCAGGUCCAAUACUGGCCCCACACUGUUGACCCCACACCUGCCUUUCCUGGUUCCCCAUCUCAGAGAGGCCCCACCACCCCUUGUCCCCAGGCUGGGGCCCUGA